CGUGUCGUGAGAUGUUGGGUUAAGUCCCGCAACGAGCGCAACCCUUGUCAUUAGUUGCUACGAAAGGGCACUCUAAUGAGACUGCCGGUGACAAACCGGAGGAAGGUGGGGAUGACGUCAAGUCCUCAUGGCCCUUAUGGGUAGGGCUUCACACGUCAUACAAUGGUACAUACAGAGGGCCGCCAACCCGCGAGGGGGAGCUAAUCCCAGAAAGUGUAUCGUAGUCCGGAUUGUAGUCUGCAACUCGACUACAUGAAGUUGGAAUCGCUAGUAAUCGCGGAUCAGCAUGUCGCGGUGAAUACGUUCCCGGGUCUU
rnacentral:rRNA from 1 species